UCCUUCUCCGGGGGAGAAAGAGAAUCGAAGUGAUAAAAAAAAUAAAACGCCAUUACCUAGGGAUGCCUCUUGCGAGGAAAACCGGAUGGAUGUGCAAACAAAUACAAUGCAAAA
rnacentral:sRNA from 12 species